UACGGGGGGGGCAAGCGUUGUUCGGAAUUACUGGGCGUAAAGGGCUCGUAGGCGGCCAACUAAGUCGGAUGUGAAAUCCCCAGGCUUAACCUGGGAACUGCAUCCGAUACUGGAUGGCUUGAAUCCGGGAGAGGGAUGCGGAAUUCCAGGUGUAGCGGUGAAAUGCGUAGAUAUGUCAUAGAACACCGAUUGCGAAGGCAGCUCACAAAGCCACUAUUGACGCUGAGGCACGAAAGCGUGGGGAUCAAACAGG
rnacentral:rRNA from 1 species